AGAGUUGAUCAUGGCUCAGGAUGAACGCUAGCGACAGGCUUAACACAUGCAAGUCGAGGGCAGCAUAAAAGUAGCAAUACUUGGUGGCGACCGGCGCACGGGUGAGUAACGCGUAUGCAACCUACCUAUCAGAGGGGAAUAACCCGGCGAAGGUCGGACUAAUACCGCAUAAAACAGGGGCACCGCAUGGUGAUAUUUGUUAAAGAAAUUCGCUGAUAGAUGGGCAUGCGUUCCAUUAGGUAGUUGGUGAGGUAACGGCUCACCAAGCCGACGAUGGAUAGGGGAACUGAGAGGUUGGUCCCCCACACUGGUACUGAGACACGGACCAGACUCCUACGGGAGGCAGCAGUGAGGAAUAUUGGUCAAUGGGCGAGAGCCUGAACCAGCCAAGUCGCCGUGAAGGAAGAAGGAUCUAUGGUUCGUAAACUUCUUUUGCAGGGGAAUAAAGUGCAGGACGUGUCCUGUUUUGUAUGUACCCUGAGAAUAAGGAUCGGCUAACUCCGUGCCAGCCGCGGC
rnacentral:rRNA from 1 species